rnacentral:rRNA from 1 species
GGGGGGGGGCGGCUAAUAAUGCAAGUCGAGCGAACUUUUGGGAGCUUGCUCCCAAAGUUAGCGGCGGACGGGUGAGUAGCACGUGGGCAACCUGCCUAUAAGACUGGGAUAACUUCGGGAAACCGGAGCUAAUACCGGAUAACAUAUGAGACCACAUGGUCUCAUAUUAAAAGAUGGCUUUUAGCUAUCACUUAUAGAUGGGCCCGCGGCGCAUUAGCUAGUUGGUGAGGUAAUGGCUCACCAAGGCGACGAUGCGUAGCCGACCUGAGAGGGUGAUCGGCCACACUGGGACUGACACACGGCCCAGACUCCUACGGGAGGCAGCAGUAGGGAAUCUUCCGCAAUGGACGAAAGUCUGACGGAGCAACGCCGCGUGAGCGAAGAAGGUCUUCGGAUCGUAAAGCUCUGUUGUUAGGGAAGAACAAGUACCGUUCAAAUAGGGCGGUACCUUGACGGUACCUAACCAGAAAGCCACGGCUAACUACGUGCCAGCAGCCGCGGUAAUACGUAGGUGGCAAGCGUUAUCCGGAAUUAUUGGGCGUAAAGCGCGCGCAGGCGGUCCUUUAAGUCUGAUGUGAAAGCCCACGGCUCAACCGUGGAGGGUCAUUGGAAACUGGGGGACUUGAGUGCAGAAGAGGAGAGCGGAAUUCCACGUGUAGCGGUGAAAUGCGUAAAGAUGUGGAGGAACACCAGUGGCGAAGGCGGCUCUCUGGUCUGUAACUGACGCUGAGGCGCGAAAGCGUGGGGAGCGAACAGGAUUAGAUACCCUGGUAGUCCACGCCGUAAACGAUGAGUGCUAAGUGUUAGAGGGUUUCCGCCCUUUAGUGCUGCAGCAAACGCAUUAAGCACUCCGCCUGGGGAGUACGGUCGCAAGACUGAAACUCAGAGGAAUUGACGGGGGCCCGCACAAGCGGUGGAGCAUGUGGUUUAAUUCGAAGCAACGCGGAGAACCUUACCAGGGUCUUGACUUCCCGAGACAACUCUAGACAUAGGGCUUUCCCCUUCGGGGGACUCGGUGACAGGUGCUGCAUGGUUGUCGUCAACUCUGGUCUUGAAAUGUUGGGGUAAAGUCCCCGCAACUACCGCAUCCCUUGAUCUUAAUUGCCAGCCAUUUAGUUGGGGCCCUCUAAGGGGGACUGCCGGUGAAAAAACCGGAAAGAAAGGGGGGGGAAUGACCUCCAAAUCUUCCAGGCCCCUUUAAGAACCUGGGCCUAAAACCGGGGCUAAAAUGGGAGGGGUUCCCAAGGGGCCACCAAAACCCCGGAGGUUAAAACCCAAUCCCCAAAAAACCCUUUUUCCGGUUUCGGAAUUGGGGGGGUUCCAAUUCCCCCCCGGUUAGAAACCCGGAAAUCCCUUUAA